AUGAGAAACUCUUUCUCGUGUGAGAUGUGGGGCACUAAAGUGGAUAAUGUCAUGUAGGCGCAAGAGAUAAGUUAUCCAUUCAAAUUCAAACACGCUUUGAAUUUGAAUGGCUAACUAAUCAUCUUUAUCCAAAUAUUAGCGCACAAGAGUGGGCAUGAGAAGGGCUUUGCAUGAGAGAAAAUUUAUGAGAAGUUUCUUCUCGUGAAUUCAAAUGGGCGUAGAGAUUUAAGGUGGUGCAGGGAUUCAAAUUCAAAUGGUGGUUUGAUCUUA
rnacentral:lncRNA from 1 species